AGGAAAACGAGAAGAGGGGGAGAAGAUAGAGGAUUCAAAAGGGAAUGGAAGGAAAGGGUAGGGUUUCAAUCUCUCUCUUUGUGCACACUUCGACGGUACGGCGAAACUGAUUCAGCAACGGUGACAAUCAACGGAACACUCAGUCGCUGCUUUCACCCGUGUUCUUGAUGAGGCCAGUGUUGUUCUUCUCUUCAGAGACAAAAUCUAUCUUCAUCCUGAUAAGUUGGGUAAUGAAACGGAGAGUGUUAGCUUUGAUCUUCGACCUUCGGAUGCAUUAACAUUGCAGUAAUAUGCAAGGUAUUUUUGUUCAUUUUGAAGAUUGUAACUGCUUUGGUGGAAUUUUGUGGUUGUUUAUCAUCAUGUAGUCCUCUUAUCUAACAUAGUUAUAAUCACUGCUCUCUCACUAGAUAGCAUUAUAUAAUGGUGUUGGAUAAACAUAAUGUUAUUUGCAUGUAAAACUGAUAGCUAAGUAAUACUGUGAGAUGCAACAAAAUGUACAAUGAAAUAGAAAAGAAAAGAACUUCAGGGAAGGGUAUGUGUAUUGGGGGUGAUGAUGACUAAAAAAUGAGUGACGAAACAAAAGAAGAAAUGAAAAAGAAAAUUGGGAAAUAAGGAAGGAAAAGAGAUGAUAGUGUCCCUAAAGUUUAUGUGGGUUUGUGGACCCCAUUCGGGGGUCGAAAUUACGAAAUGACCACCGAAACCACCGAAACUUGGCACGGA